rnacentral:rRNA from 1 species
GGUACUUUCAGUCAGUGAGGUAAGGUGGAUUAUGUUAAUAGCAUAUUCAUUUUGACGUUAGCUGCAGAAGUAAGCACCGGCUAACUCCGUGCCAGCAGCCGCGGUAAUACGGAGGGUGCGAGCGUUAAUCGGAAUUACUGGGCGUAAAGCGCAUGCAGGUGGUUUGUUAAGUCAGAUGUGAAAGCCCGGGGCUCAACCUCGGAAUUGCAUUUGAAACUGGCAAACUAGAGUACUGUAGAGGGGGUAGAAUUUCAGGUGUAGCGGUGAAAUGCGUAGAGAUCUGAAGGAAUACCGGUGGCGAAGGCGGCCCCCUGGACAGAUACUGACACUCAGAUGCGAAAGCGUGGGGAGCAAACAGGAUUAGAUACCCUGGUAG